rnacentral:rRNA from 1 species
GGUCCAGACUCCUACGGGAGGCAGCAGUGAGGAAUAUUGGUCAAUGGGCGCGAGCCUGAACCAGCCAAGUCGCGUGAGGGAAGACGGUCCUAUGGAUUGUAAACCUCUUUUGUCGGGGAGCAAAAGACGCCACGCGUGGCGUUCCGAGAGUACCCGAAGAAAAAGCAUCGGCUAACUCCGUGCCAGCAGCCGCGGUAAUACGGAGGAUGCGAGCGUUAUCCGGAUUUAUUGGGUUUAAAGGGUGCGUAGGCGGUCCGUUAAGUCAGCGGUAAAAUUGCGGGGCUCAACCCCGUCGAGCCGUUGAAACUGGCAGACUUGAGUUGGCGAGAAGUACGCGGAAUGCGCGGUGUAGCGGUGAAGUGCAUAGAUAUCGCGCAGAACUCCGAUUGCGAAGGCAGCAUGCCGGCUCCACACUGACGCUGAGGCACGAAAGCGUGGGUAUCGAACAGGAUUAGAUACCCCGGUAC